rnacentral:rRNA from 1 species
UUAGCUGAGAGGUCGGUGCAUGGCCGUCGUCAGUUCGUACUGUGAAGCAUCCUGUUAAGUCAGGCAACGAGCGAGACCCACGCCCACAGUUGCCAGCGUACUCUCUGGAGUGACGGGUACACUGUGGGGACCGCCGCUGCUAAAGCGGAGGAAGGAAUGGGCAACGGUAGGUCAGUAUGCCCCGAAUAUCCCGGGCUACACGCGAGCUACAAUGGUUGGUACAAUGGGUAUCUACCCCGAAAGGGGACGGGAAUCUCCUAAAACCAAUCUUAGUUCGGAUUGAGGGCUGCAACUCGCCCUCAUGAAGCUGGAAUCCGUAGUAAUCGCGUUUCAACAGAACGCGGUGAAUACGUCCCUGCUCCUU